rnacentral:rRNA from 1 species
GACGAACGCUGGCGGCGUGCUUAACACAUGCAAGUCGAACGGAAAGGCCCUGCUUUUGUUGCUUGCUCGAUUGGCGAACAGGUGAGUAACACGUGAGUAACCUGCCCUUGACUUUGGGAUAACUUCAGGAAACUGGGGCUAAUACCCGAUAUGAGCUCCUGCUGCACGUUGUGGGUUGGAAAGUUUCGGCGGUGGGGGAUGGACUCGCGGCUUAUCAGCUUGUUGGGCGGGUAGGGGCUGACCAAGUCUUUGACGGGUAGCCCGCAUGAGAGGGUGACCGGCCACCUGGGGACUGAGAGACGCACCAGAAUGCAACGGGAGGCAGCAGUGGAGAAUCUUGCACAACGGGCGGAAGCGUGUUGUAGAAACGCCGCGUGCGGGAUGCUGGCCUACGGGUUGUAAACAGCUGUCGACGGAGACGAAGAGGGAGUGACGGUACUGGGUCAAGAAGCACCGGCUAACUACGUG